CCUACGGGGGGCUGCAGUGGGGAAUAUUGCGCAAUGGGCGAAAGCCUGACGCAGCGACGCCGCGUGAGGGAUGAAGGUUUUCGGAUCGUAAACCUCUGUCAGCAGGGAAGAACGUUCACUGUGCUAAUCAGCAGUGAAUUGACGGUACCUGCCAAGGAAGCACCGGCUAACUCCGUGCCAGCAGCCGCGGUAAUACGGAGGGUGCGAGCGUUAAUCGGAAUUACUGGGCGUAACGCGCUCGUAGGCGGUAGGUCAAGUCAAGGGUGAAAUCCCCGCGCUCAAAGUGGGAACUGCCUUUGAAACUGGCAAAGUGGAGUGUGUGGUAGGAUAGUGGAAUUCCAGGUGUAGGAGUGAAAUCCGUA
rnacentral:rRNA from 1 species